GGAGAGGUGGCCGAGUGGCUUAAGGCGCACGCUUGGAAAGCGUGUAUACGAGUAAUCGUAUCGAGGGUUCGAAUCCCUCUCUCUCCGCCA
rnacentral:tRNA from 1 species